GCGGCAGGCCUAACACAUGCAAGUCGAGCGGAUAACGACAACAUUGACCCUUCGGGUGAUUUAGUUGGGCGUCGAGCGGCGGACGGGUGAGUAAUGCCUGGGAAAUUGCCCUGAUGUGGGGGAUAACCAUUGGAAACGAUGGCUAAUACCGCAUAAUGCCUUCGGGCCAAAGAGGGGGACCUUCGGGCCUCUCGCGUCAGGAUAUGCCCAGGUGGGAUUAGCUAGUUGGUGAGGUAAUGGCUCACCAAGGCGACGAUCCCUAGCUGGUCUGAGAGGAUGAUCAGCCACACUGGAACUGAGACACGGUCCAGACUCCUACGGGAGGCAGCAGUGGGGAAUAUUGCACAAUGGGCGCAAGCCUGAUGCAGCCAUGCCGCGUGUAUGAAGAAGGCCUUCGGGUUGUAAAGUACUUUCAGCAGUGAGGAAGGUUCAUACGUUAAUAGCGUAUGGAUUUGACGUUAGCUGCAGAAGAAGCACCGGCUAACUCCGUGCCAGCAGCCGCGGUAAUACGGAGGGUGCGAGCGUUAAUCGGAAUUACUGGGCGUAAAGCGCAUGCAGGUGGUUCGUUAAGUCAGAUGUGAAAGCCCGAGGCUCAACCUCGGAACUGCAUUUGAAACUGGCGGACUAGAGUACUGUAGAGGGGGGUAGAAUUUCAGGUGUAGCGGUGAAAUGCGUAGAGAUCUGAAGGA
rnacentral:rRNA from 1 species